GUCUCUGUGGCGCAACGGGUCAGUGCGUCUGGCUGCUAAGCAGAAGGUUGGUGGUUCAAGCCCACCCAGGGACG